rnacentral:rRNA from 1 species
UAAGGAAUAUUGGUCAAUGGACGCAAGUCUGAACCAGCCAUGCCGCGUGGAGGAUGAAGGCCCUCUGGGUUGUAAACUUCUUUUCUUUGGGACGAAACCCCUAUUUCUAUGGGGACUGACGGUACCAGAGGAAUAAGCACCGGCUAACUCCGUGCCAGCAGCCGCGGUAAUACGGAGGGUGCAAGCGUUAUCCGGAUUCACUGGGUUUAAAGGGAGCGUAGGUGGACUUUUAAGUCAGUGGUGAAAUCUCUGGGCUUAACCCGGAAACUGCCAUUGAUACUAUUAGUCUUGAAUUCUCUGGAGGUAAGCGGAAUAUGUCAUGUAGCGGUGAAAUGCUUAGAUAUGACAUAGAACACCCAUUGCGAAGGCAGCUUACUACGGAGACAUUGACACUGAGGCUCGAAAGCGUGGGGAUCAAACAGG